UUCUGCUAAUGGAUGGCAUAGUUUUAGCUGGCUUUACAAAAUCCAUCUUUUGUUGGAACUGGGCAGGCAGCCACGCUCCGUAUCUAUGGAAGUGAGUUCCCUUCAGCUGUGCCAGCCUCAAGCACUCGAAGCUCUGAAGUUGUUCUGCAGGUGGGGAUCCGGGGGGUGAGUGACUGCAAAGGGGCUGCAGUGCCUGGAGGAGGCUGGGAGGGACUGGGGGAGGAGGGGGUGUUUGAGUUGGGAGAGCCCUUUGGCCAUCUGACGUGGUACUGGCUGUGAGCUGAGCCUGGAAGGUGUUUCAUUGCUGCAGGAAUUCACCUUGUUUCCUGAGCUUCUGCCUCUUUGCCAAAGUUUGGGGCUAUUUUGGCGUUCUGCAUAGUGUUUGUGUGGAAAUUAUUUCAAGAAGAAAAGAAGAUGGGGAAAAAGCCAGCCUCAUUCUAUCAUUAUUGAGCUGUACGCUCACUGAUGGACUCAGCCAUGCAUGCCUGCACGCAUUUCUUAUAAAAGCAAGGAAUGACCACAGGGCUGCUGGAGCAGCUGGGUGCAGAGGGAAGGGAAGUCAGAGUCAAGCUGCGUUCUUGGGAUGCUACCUUCUGCCUGCAGUUUGUGGAGAAGGACAUGGGAAAAUAGUGACCACCUGCUCUGUUGUGGAAGAAGUGAAGGCACGAGGGACAGGGAUGGUUCAGAGAGGGCAGCAUGGAGAAGUCCCAUCAGUCCCAUGCAGAUGUGAGUGCAGCUUCUGCUGCUUUCCAGCAGAGAUCCAGACCUGCUCUGCCCAAGGCUGUUUGCUUGAAGACCUGCUGCCCUGCUCCCAAAGUGCCCUCAGCCUGAGAGCUCAGAGAGCAGCUCUGCCGUGGCUGCAGGGCAGGACAAACACAGCACAGUGCUUCUGCAUCCACCCGCACACACCCGGCAGGAUCCUUCUUCCUUCUUUUCUCUUUACUUCUGCUGCCUUUUGUUUUGAAUAUGAAUUUAUUCUAGGGGAACAUUUGUGCCCUGCUCUGUUGCUUUCAUGCCUCCCACCAGCAAAUUGUUCAACCUCAGCUGGGCAAUUAACUUGUUUUUACUAAUUUAAGUAUUAUUUUAAUGUGGUCUGAGCCCUUUUAAGUCACUGGCCAACCUCUGAUCUGAAACAAAGUGCUUCGUGGAAAAGUGGCUCACCUGUUAGCAAGGGCUAAUCCACGGGUCAUUAGUUCAGACCGAAUAAAUAGAGAUUAAAGCACA
rnacentral:lncRNA from 1 species